rnacentral:pre_miRNA from 1 species
GAAUUACUCCCUCCGUCCGAAAAUACUUGUCAUUGAAAUGGAUGUAUCUAGAUGUAUUUUAGUUUUAGAUACAUCAAUUUUCAUCCAUUUUGAUGACAAGUAAUUCCGGACGGAGGGAGUACAUG